rnacentral:rRNA from 1 species
GAGGCAGAGCGAAUCUCAAAAAGCCGUCCCAGUUCGGAUCGCAGGCUGCAACCCGCCUGCGUGAAGUUGGAAUCGCUAGUAAUCGCGGAUCAGCAUGCCGCGGUGAAUACGUUCCCGGGCCUUGUACACACCGCCCGUCACACCAUGAGAGUCGGGAACACCCGAAGUCCGUAGCCUGACCGGUAAGGGGGGCGCGGCCGAAGGUGGGUUCGAUAAUUGGGGUGAAGUCGUAACAAGGUAGC